UAAAAUUUGGAAUUGCGGUGGGGAAGCUCAUCCCUUUGGGAUUCCACCUACUGUAACUGCUGUAGGGAAGUAGGAAACUGCCAAAGCUCUGCACUGGAAGACGGACGCCCGAAGACCCGCCUACCAUCAAGUUGCCCUACGUCCGUGGCUUGAGGGCAUAGGCUUCAUCACGGCGUUCUGACCUGCUGACCUGUUGAGUCCAGGGCUGUUUUUAUCCUCCUGGUUUCCUGUCCCUGUUCCUGUUCUGGAUCCCCUUCCGGUUUCAAUCUUGUCUGUCUCGGAUUGGAUCUCCCGGCUCGUAGACCCUAGACUGCGCCCCGGUUUCCCCUUUGGACUUGUUCGCCUGCGCCACGCCCCCUGAGCAGCAGAUCACAGCCGUCUCGCCCCUCUCUCUGUCAUCCCAUCCUGCUCCUGCUGUGUUUCCCUUGAAGUCUUAUUCCAGUCACUUCCGGAUUAUACCAUCUACAUAGGGUCCCGAACUACGGCUCCCGUGACACAACUAACAGCAACUGAUCAUCGUUUUCUUAAAAUUCCCAGAGUUUCUAUGAUUGCAAAAAUCCUUUUCUAAAAACUCUUCCCCAUUAUAUACUGUGAAGUGUUAAAAGCAUAAUAAAUAUAAAUAAUAAAACAUAAAUAAACUAA